UACGUAGGGGGCGAGCGUUGUCCGGAUUUAUUGGGCGUAAAGGGCACGUAGGCGGCCAUUCAAGUCGAUCGUGAAAGCUCGGGGCUCAACCCCGAGACUGCGGUCGAUACUGGAUGGCUAGAGGCUGGUAGGGGGGUGUGGAAUUCCCGGUGUAGCGGUGGAAUGCGCAGAUAUCGGGAGGAACACCGGUGGCGAAGGCGGCACCCUGGGCCAGUCCUGACGCUGAUGUGCGAAAGCGUGGGGAG
rnacentral:rRNA from 1 species